AAUGGGAUAACUGCCUGGCACUCACCAAGCUACACUUGAAGAGGAUCAAUCCAUGUCAUCAUGUCCCCAAUUUCAUAGCACCAAGUAUUUUGUUUAUUCACAAAUGCCCUAUUAUGGACAUCUAGCAAACAAUGAUACAUCAGAAAAGGAGAUGUGCAUAAAUUUUCAUGGAAUAAGGGAUGCGCAUGAAAGAAUGUGCCACAGAAAAUGAGACACAUCAAUGAGGAUUCAGCUCUAAUAGAUCAUGUUCCUGCUUAAAAGUCUCCAGGACUCACCAUUACAUAGGGGAUAAAGUCUAAGUUGUGGAAAAUGCACUAGAAUCAACAAACAUGGGGACUAAUUCAACUCGGAUAUCAUGUCUUCAGAGAAGUUUCUCCUGCCCUCCUCUCCCUGUAGAAUUAAGUAUUCUUCCACUGUGCCACCCUCUAACUUGUGCUCAUAUCUUCCUCUAUUGUAGUUAUGUGUUCACAUCCCUGUUGUUUUUGUACCGGCUUCUCCCAAAGGGAGACAUUUAGUCUUAUUCUUCUUGGUAACUUUAGCACAGACCUGGCAGAUUGUUGACACUCAACAAAUGUUUAUUGACUCAAAUGCAUUCAGUUGAACAUUGACCUUUGAUCAACUCUGGGAAAAGUCUGCAAAGCUAGUUAGGACAUUCAGAAAUUCAUUUCAUUUCAAUCCUAACUAAAUAAAUUAUUGAAGUCUCA
rnacentral:lncRNA from 1 species